CUCGCUGAAUUUUAUAAUAUUUUUGCCGAAUUUUAAGUAGAUCGAUUUGUUGGGAGAACAAAACUUGUGUUGAACAGGUUGAAUGUGGUUGAGAAGUUUUAGUUAAUUUUGUGCACUAUAAGAAGAAACAUUCAUUCAUGUAUUUGUAAUAACGAACACUGGAUUCUUUUCAUCAAAUUUAAAAGUUGGCAACUACUUCCUUGCAGAAGCUAAUAAAUUGAAAAGGAAAACAAUCAUGGAUAUUGAAGUUAAUGAGAACAUUCUCAUUAGUAAUAGCCUCCUUGACCUCGGGGAUCUUUAGAUUCAGAUUCAGAGGUGGCAGUGUCGGGUUUAUCACACAUAGGACUAGUAUAAUAGAAAGUGUUGAGCGCGUAUUUGAUCGAACCGCGAUACACCGAUGUCGGGUAGUUGAGGUUGACGCCAGACUUUCCACCACCGAAGUCAGUGAGGAUGUUGCAGACAUGAUCAGGGGAAGACACCAACCUCACGGAGCAUCGUUUUGUAUCGACUUCCUUGCCGUAGACAUACUUGUUCACAGUGAUGUCGUACUGCCCCGACUCGUCCGUUGCAUCACUUGUGUAAUACAUAACCCUGCUUCUCUUGUCCAUGCAUGUUAGGGACACCUUAACUCCUGUACAAGUGCUGCCACAAUUAGGAACCAACCAAGACAUAUACAAAUGAAAAGAGUGAAUGCUAAAUUUUGUCCCUAAAUGUCGGGAUAUUUCUUUUUUCUAGGGACUAACUUGCCCGACACUUACACUUUCAGCGGCGAAAUUAAUAUUGACUCGAAUGAAAAUGCGACAUAGGAAGAGACUAGAUUGACAAAUGACAAUGAC
rnacentral:lncRNA from 1 species